UCCGCCAUGGUGUAAUGGCAGCACAGCGGUCUUUGGAACCGCUUGUCUAGGUUCGAAUCCUAGUGGCGGAGCGA
rnacentral:tRNA from 1 species